rnacentral:rRNA from 1 species
UACGUAGGGUGCGAGCGUUAAUCGGAAUUACUGGGCGUAAAGCGUGCGCAGGCGGUGAGCUGUGUCCGAUGUGAAAGCCCCGGGCUUAACCUGGGAAUGGCAUUGGAAACUGGCUCGCUGGAGUGUGGCAGAGGGGGGUGGAAUUCCGCGUGUAGCAGUGAAAUGCGUAGAGAUGCGGAGGAACACCGAUGGCGAAGGCAGCCCCCCUGGGCUAACACUGACGCUCAGGCACGAAAGCGUGGGUAGCAAACAGG